rnacentral:rRNA from 1 species
CGCGGCCUAUCAGCUUGUUGGUGGGGUAACGGCCCACCAAGGCAUCGACGGGUAGCUGGUCUGAGAGGACGAUCAGCCACACUGGGACUGAGACACGGCCCAGACUCCUACGGGAGGCAGCAGUGGGGAAUAUUGCGCAAUGGGCGAAAGCCUGACGCAGCAACGCCGCGUGGGGGAUGACGGCCUUCGGGUUGUAAACCCCUUUCAGCAGGGACGAAAAUGACGGUACCUGCAGAAGAAGCCCCGGCCAACUACGUGCCAGCAGCCGCGGUAACACGUAGGGGGCGAGCGUUGUCCGGAUUUAUUGGGCGUAAAGAGCUCGUAGGCAGUUGCGUAAGUCGGAUGUGAAAACUCAGGGCUCAACCCGGAGACGCCAUCCGAUACUGCGCUGACUAGAGUCCGGUAGGGGAGCAUGGAAUUCCUGGUGUAGCGGUGAAAUGCGCAGAUAUCAGGAGGAACACCAGCGGCGAAGGCGGUGCUCUGGGCCGGAACUGACGCUGAGGAGCGAAAGCGUGGGUAGCAAACAGGAUUAGAUACCCUGGUAGUCCACGCCGUAAACGUUGGGCACUAGGUGUGGGGCCUACUUAACGGGUUCCGUGCCGUAGCUAACGCAUUAAGUGCCCCGCCUGGGGAGUACGG